CGAAUUACAGAUUUAAUUUGGCUGUACAUUUUUCAGUUUUAUAAAGCGUUCUUAAGUUAUUUUUGAAAGUGUGUUUCGAAGCUUUUGCGUAAGCAAUUCAUUUAAAAACGAUAAGCCCAGAAGUGGCACAAGCCGUUGCUUUACUAGACGAUGGUCGUCCAGUUAGGUUUAUUGCAGAAAGGCUAGACCAUCCACGCAGUACGAUACAAAGUUAGGAUAAACUGGUUCUUAUUCAAGUAUACCUGGACAGGGAAGAUGAAUGGCCACAAACGCAGUUGAGGAUCGAUUUCUUCAUUUUCAAGUUUUUCACGAAGCGGAUCUGCUUCCGCUUUAGUAAGAAGACUUGCAGAUGUUGAUGUCUCAUCUGAUACCGUACCAAGAAGAUGCGGGUCAUCAAAGGCUGCCUCUAGAGUUUGCUCGAACUCAUGCAGAUUGGGACAUGGACGAAUCGCGCAAUGUUCUUCUUACAGACGAGUCUUGUUUCACGCGAUGUGGCGUGGUAUUUCAUUGGAAGCCCGUACAGGAGCCGUAUUGGAGUACCUUGUUACAUUUCAAGGAGGUAUUAACGCUGAUAGAUACAUUAGGAUGUGGUGCUUCAUAAGCCAUUUAUAGGAGAACAUUUUAUCUUAAUGCACGACAAUGCUCGAUCGAAAAUAGCACAAAUAAUAAGGCAAUAUUUAAUAGAUGUUGACGUACAUAUAUUGGACUGGCCCCCAAAAUCUCGACCCUAUUGCGCACUUGUGGAAUAUACUGGAAAGAAGGUUAGGUAGAACUACGGCAAAAAAGUGCGUUAAAAGAAGCACUGACAAACAAGUGGCAACAAAUACUCCAAGAUGCGAUUGCUUCUUUAAUUCAAUCUAUAUUUGAAAAAAUAAGGGUUGUUAUUCAAGUUCGUAGGGAAAAUACCCGAUUUUAGAAAAAAUUUAUGAAUCUUAAUGUCGCCGAUAUCCAUUUUCUUUUAAAUGGUAACGAAGCUUUAUUGCAAUAUUUCUUAUAAGUCAGUGCUUUUUCUUUAAGAAUACAGAUAUUGAAAUGAAUAAAAAAACACGUUAUUUAGAAAAGUUGGGACUUGAAAAUGCAGCAAAAAGAAUCAUUAUUUAGUUGUCAUUUUUCCCACAGGGUAUUUAAAAGCUUAGAGUAAAAUUAGACUUUUUAUUAACGCCUUAAUAACCAUUGGAAAUUUUUAUAGCUUCGAUAUAAAAAAAUGAUGAUAAUAAAACGGCCUAAAAUUCGCCAAAAAAGUUAUCUAAACCGAUGAAAUACUGAAAAAAUUAUUAAGGAUUGAAUUUGAACCAAAUUCUCGUUGUCCGGUUAAUUUUGCGGGCCAGUGUAGUUUAAUGUAUUUGGAACAUGCAUCUGUUACUAGACUUGAAAAAAUGUAAUAAAGACAUUUUUUUACCUUAAGAA